AUUGAACGCUGGCGGCAGGCCUAACACAUGCAAGUCGAGCGGAGCGGCGGACGGGUGAGUAAUGCCUAGGAAUCUGCCUGGUAGUGGGGGAUAACGUCCGGUUACAGUCGCUACUACCGCAUACUAUCAGAUGAGCCUCGGUCGGAUUAGCUAGUUGGUGGGGUAAAGGCCUACCAAGGCGACGAUCCGUAACUGGUCUGCUAGGAUGAUCAGUCACACUGGUACUGAGACACGGUCCAGACUCCUACGGGAGGCAGCAGUGGGGAAUAUUGGACAAUGGGCGAAAGCCUGAUCGAGCCAUUCCGCGUGAAUGAAGAAGGUCUUCGGAUUGUAAAGUACUUUAAGUUGGGAGGCGUUACCGACAGAAUAAGCACCGGCUAACUUCGUGCCAGCAGCCGCGGUAAUUC
rnacentral:rRNA from 1 species